rnacentral:rRNA from 1 species
GAGAGGUAACGGCUCACCAAGGCAUCGACGGGUAGCUAGUCUGAGAGGACGAAUAGCCACACUGGAACUGAGACACGGUCCAGACUCCUACGGGAGGCAGCAGUGGGGAAUCUUGCACAAUGGGCGAAAGCCUGAUGCAGCGACGCCGCGUGGGGGAUGAAGGCCCUAGGGUCGUAAACCCCUUUCAGUAGGGACGAAAAUGACGGUACCUACAGAAGAAGCCCCGGCCAACUACGUGCCAGCAGCCGCGGUAAGACGUAGGGGGCGAGCGUUGUCCGGAUUUAUUGGGCGUAAAGGGCUCGUAGGUGGUUGCGUAAGUCGGAUGUGAAAACUCAGGGCUUAACCCUGAGACGCCAUCCGAUACUGCGCUGACUUGAGUCCGGUAGAGGAGUGUGGAAUUCCUGGUGUAGCGGUGAAAUGCGCAGAUAUCAGGAGGAACACCUACAGCGAAGGCAGCACUCUGGGCCGGUACUGACACUGAGGAGCGAAAGCGUGGGUAGCAAACAGGAUUAGAUACCCUGGUAGUCCACGCCGUAAACGGUGGGCACUAGGUGUGGGGACUUUCAACGGUCUCUGCGCCGAAGCUAACGCAUUAAGUG